CCUACGGGUGGCAGCAGUCGAGAAUCAUUCACAAUGGGGGAAACCCUGAUGCUGCGACGCCGCGUGGGGGAAUGAAGGUCUUCGAAUUGUAAACCCCUGUCAUGUGGGAGCAAAUUAAAUAGGUAGAACCACAAGAGGAAGAGACUGCUAACUCUGUGCCAGCAGCCGCGGUAAUACAGAGGUCUCAAGCGUUGUUCGGAAUCACUGGGCGUAAAGCGUGCGACGGCUGUUUCGUAAGUCGUGUGUGAAAGGCGCGGGCUCAACCGGCGGACGGCACAUGAUACUGCGAGACUAGAGUAAGGGAGGGGGAAGCGGAAUUCUCGGUGUAGCAGUGAAAUGCGUAGAUAUCUGGAGGAACACUCGUGGCGAAGGCGGGUUCCUGGACAUUAACUGACGCUGAGGCACGAAGGCCAGGGGAGCGAAAGGGAUUAGAUACCCGAGUAGUC
rnacentral:rRNA from 1 species